rfam:Ornithorhynchus anatinus chromosome X5, whole genome shotgun sequence.
AGCAGCGUGGCUCAGUGGAGAGAGCAUGGGCUUGGGAGUCAGAGGUCAUGGGUUCAAAUCCCAGCUCAGCCG